rnacentral:rRNA from 1 species
CCUACGGGAGGCAGCAGUAGGGAAUCUUCCGCAAUGGACGAAAGUCUGACGGAGCAACGCCGCGUGAGUGAUGAAGGCUUUCGGGUCGUAAAACUCUGUUGUUAGGGAAGAACAAGUACGAGAGUAACUGCUCGUACCUUGACGGUACCUAACCAGAAAGCCACGGCUAACUACGUGCCAGCAGCCGCGGUAAUACGUAGGUGGCAAGCGUUAUCCGGAAUUAUUGGGCGUAAAGCGCGCGCAGGCGGUUUCUUAAGUCUGAUGUGAAAGCCCACGGCUCAACCGUGGAGGGUCAUUGGAAACUGGGGAACUUGAGUGCAGAAGAGAAAAGCGGAAUUCCACGUGUAGCGGUGAAAUGCGUAGAGAUGUGGAGGAACACCAGUGGCGAAGGCGGCUUUUUGGUCUGUAACUGACGCUGAGGCGCGAAAGCGUGGGGAGCAAACAGGAUUAGAUACCCUGGUAGUCCACGCCGUAAACGAUGAGUGCUAAGUGUUAGAGGGUUUCCGCCCUUUAGUGCUGCAGCUAACGCAUUAAGCACUCCGCCUGGGGAGUACGGUCGCAAGACUGAAACUCAAAUGAAUUGACGGGG